AUGUCCUGCUCUCAACUCCGCGGAGUCAACACUUUUCCCACCCCAUCCGCACCCUCACGGGGUAGCGUAAAACAACCCCAACCACAUGGGGACGCUUUACACUACGGGUUAUGGCCACGGGUAAGGGACGGGGAUGGGAUGGGAAUGGGGAAGUCUAACACUAUGGCCCAGCGGCGCAGCGCCAGUCAGCAGCCAGCAGGUGGGGAGUAAUGCGUGCUUCCCUGUAUCAGCUUGCUAUGGUGCAGCUUCCAAGGUAACAUAUGGGCAGACAAGGUGUUAAUUCGCCUGCCACUUGAAGGAGCCAUUCAUGACCCACUGCUGUGCUGCGGUGCCGUCGCAGGGCUUGAGCACCGGGAGGGUCACAUCCCGGGCAUCUGGCUUCUGUAGACACCGCCCAGAGUUGACGUGCUUUACUGACCCAUCCUGCAACACCAAGCACAAUAAAGAAGAAGUUAGGCAUCUACAAGAGUGACUCACCUCUCCCAAAUAGAAGUAAUCAAGAGGCAUCUGGGACUCUGGGUAGAUGUUCUCCAGGAACCAUCGGAAACUCUUGCAAUUUAGGUCCUUCCUGAGUUUCCUUCGGCCACUCACGUCUCCAUAGUCAACACUCCGCGCACCUGAGCCACACAGCAACACUCAGCACACCA